UAAUACGUCAUUUGGUGUUCCUAU
rnacentral:miRNA from 1 species